GGACAUGACUCCAAAGAGUGAACAAAGAGCCAGAGUGGAAUACACAUUGGGAAACAAGCCAAUUAAUCCAGUACCCAGUCCAAAAAGAACUUGAACUGAACCACUUGGACCUAUUUUCUGGGAGAAGUGAAUUUAUGAAUUUUACACAGAACUCCUGUUUCUAUACAGCACAUACUGGAGUGCUGCUGAAGAAUGGAAAUCAAUUGGUUUGUGCAGCUCCUGUUCUAUGUCACAUGAUGAGUCUAAAAUGUUAUUUUUAUGUGCAAUAGCAAUGAAACAAGCUACAUCCAUUCAAUUUUGCCUUAGCAAAAACUUUAAAAAAA